rnacentral:rRNA from 1 species
GAUGAACGCUGGCGGCGUGCCUAAUACAUGCAAGUCGAGCGAACGGACGAGAAGCUUGCUUCUCUGAUGUUAGCGGCGGACGGGUGAGUAACACGUGGAUAACCUACCUAUAAGACUGGGAUAACUUCGGGAAACAGGAGCUAAUAACGGAUAAUAUGUUGAACCGCAUGGUUCAAAAGUAAAAGACGGUCUUGCUGUCACAUAUAGAUGGAGCCGCGCUGCAUUAGCUAGUUGGUAAGGUAACGGCUUACCAAGGCAACGAUGCAUAGCCGACCUGAGAGGGUGAUCGGCCACACUGGAACUGAGACACGGUCCAGACUCCUACGGGAGGCAGCAGUAGGGAAUCUUCCGCAAUGGGCGCAAGCCUGACGCAGCCACGCCGCGUGAGUGAUGAAGGUCUUCGGAUCGUAAAACUCUGUUAUUAGGGAAGAACAUAUGUGUAAGUAACUGUGCACGUCUUGACGGUACCUAAUCAGAAAGCCACGGCUAACUACGUG